UCUUUCUCUCUCUAACCACACAUACUCUCUCUCUUAGCUUUGUAAACCUGCCACCGCUACCACCGUUAACACCUCCAUCAAAACCUUAGGUCUACAACCGCCACCACCUCACCGAAACCUUAGAUCCGCCUAACCACCACCCGACUAAAACCCUAAACCAGAAAUAACGAUGGUGGUUCACCACCAUCCACCCACCGGUUCAUCACCAUCUUCACCGCCUUAGUGCCGCCACAACAACCACCCACCACCAUCUUCACCACCUUAGCGCCGCCACAACAACGACGUCGGUUCACCACCAUCCACCCACUAGUUCCCCUCCAUCUGCCUGUCUGUUCUUAACUCAUGAGUAAUGCAACGGCUCCGAUGAACUCCACUUCUACCCAACUCAAGGAUCCAUCUGCUCCGGGAAGGUACUCCAAGUGACCCCAAUGGCUUGCAUCCCUUUUUUGCUUCCCAAGAUGUAUGUAUGCAUAAACGAUAAAUUGAUGGGAUUCAUCACCAUUUUCUAGGUAAUUGAGAUUGUUGCUCGUUAUGACGAUGUGUGUACGCCAUCUAGAUCAAAAGUGAUAAGGUUCAAUUUAUGCAAACAAAACUUGCAACAUAACCCUGACAAAAUUACCCUCAUGUUUAUUAUUGUUUUUAUUUUUAUAAGUGAAUAGCUGAAUUGCCAUAAAUGCCCCUCAUGUGAGGGGCACAUGAUAA